ensembl:lncRNA
UUACAAAGGAACUAGACAGUAUAACAGAUUUAAUUUACAAAGGAACUAGACAGUAUAACAGAUUUAAUUUACAAAGGUACUAGACAGUAUAACAGAUUUAAUUUACAAAGGAACUAGACAGUAUAACAGAUGUAAUUUACAAAGGAACUAGACAGUAUAACAGAUUUAAUUUACAAAGGAACUAGACAGUAUAACAGAUUUAAUUUACAAAGGUACUAGACAGUAUAACAGAUUUAAUUUACAAAGGAACUAGACAGUAUAACAGAUUUAAUUUACAAAGGAACUAGACAGUAUAACAGAUGUAAUUUACACAGUGGAGCGCAGCUGCUUGUCAAGAAGCCACACUCAUGUUAGAAGUUCAGCUCCCUGAAACAAUUAUUUUCAAAUAAAAAACUAAUUUAAUCAAAAAAAGGGGAAUUUCUAUCAUCCUAAUGAAGGUCUAGAUUACAUCUCACAUUCCAGUGUUUCUAAUGGAGGUGUAGAUUACAUCUCACAUUCCAGUGUUUCUAAUGAAGGUCUAGAUUACAUCUCACAUUCCAGUGUUUCUAAUGAAGGUGUAGAUUACAUCUCACAUUCCAGUGUUUCUAAUGGAGGUGUAGAUUACAUCUCACAUUCCAGUGUUUCUAAUGAAGGUGUAGAUUACAUCACACAUUCCAGUGUUUCUAAUGGAGGUCUAGAUUACAUCUCACAUUCCAGUGUUUCUAAUGGAGGUAUAGAUUACAUCUCACAUUCCAGUGUUUCUAAUGGAGGUGUAGAUUACAUCUCACAUUCCAGUGUUUCUAAUGGAGGUAUAGAUUACAUCUCACAUUCCGGUGUUUCUAAUGGAGGUAUAGAUUAUCUCACAUUCCACUAUUCAAACUUGUAAACAAGACUGUAUAGGAUUUCUGUUAAUCAGACUCUGUGCAGCCAAUGGCAAUGUCUGCUCUAGGGAUAAUGCCGGGAGCCACUUGUGGAUUUGACAGCUCUAACGCAGUUCUGCCUCUGACACCAUCAAAACAACUGCUAUGCUGAUGUUGGCUAAAGUGGAUCUGAUUGGAUCGAGCCGUUAAUCUUCUGUUUUACCCCACGUCCUCUGAGGUUGGAGCGCGGGGUAAGUCAUAGUACAGCACUCCUGGAGACGUUUCAUUCGGGGUUAAGUGCCUUGAUCAACGACAGAUGGAUGGUUCAUAAAGAUCUUAAUCCGCUCCGACUAGCAUACAUCAUGCUCUACCCUCACUGUGAUCUGUCCAUAGAAGAAGGUUGCCUGUCUGUCUCUGGUGGCUGCAGAGAACGGCAGACUGCUGCCCUCUGCUGUCCUGGUGGGGACCUGCAGGCACUCCAACCUCCUGUUUGAACUCCUCUCCCCACCUCCUCCAACUGAGUCCUGCCACAGGGGGCAGGAGGAGGUGGAGGAAGAGGCGGAGCUACCGGGGCAGAACACACCACACACACGCUCCCUGGAGCUGUCCGAGAAGUUGGAGUCAACUGUGAAGACGGAAGAGCAGUAGGCCCGUCUCAGCCCCCCUCCUACAGGUGGGUUGUGGAUGUUAGACCCAGGUCCAGAACAUACUAGGCCAGGAUGGGGGCGGGGCCACUGGGGGCGGGGAUGGACGGAAGUCAGAGUACAUGGGUCACAUGGUUCACUGCUCCUCCCCUCCUCUCCCUCCCCCCUGGUCUCGCCUCCCC